GGCCUGAUGGUCUAGUAGUAUGAUUCCUUGUUAGGGUCCUUCGGGGCAUUUCGAGGAGGUCCCGGGUUCAAUUCCCGGUCAGGCCC